AGCCAGACUCCUACGGGAGGCAGCAGUGGGGGAUAUUGGACAAUGGGGGAAACCCUGAUCCAGCGAUGCCGCGUGAGGGAAGAAGGUUUUCGGAUUGUAAACCUCUGUGGACAGGGACGAUAAUGACGGUACCUGUCAAGAAAGCCACGGCUAACUACGUGCCAGCAGCCGCGGUAAUACGUAGGGGGCAAGCGUUAUCCGGAUUUACUGGGUGUAAAGGGAGCGUAGGCGGUUUAGCAAGUCAGAAGUGAAAGCCCGGGGCUCAACUCCGGGACUGCUUUUGAAACUGUUGAACUAGAUUGCAGGAGAGGUAAGUGGAAUUCCUAGUGUAGCGGUGAAAUGCGUAGAUAUUAGGAGGAACACCGGUGGCGAAGGCGGCUUACUGGACCAUAACUGACGUUGAGGCUCGAAAGCGUGGGGAGCGAACAGGAUUAGAUACCCCAGUAC
rnacentral:rRNA from 1 species